rnacentral:rRNA from 1 species
UACGUAGGUGACAAGCGUUGUCCGGAUUUACUGGGCGUAAAGAGCGCGCAGGCGGUCGUUCAAGUCGAGUGUGAAAGCCCCCGGCUCAACUUGGGAGGGUCAUUCGAUACUGAUCGACUCGAAGGCAGGAGAGGGAAGUGGAAUUCCCGGUGUAGUGGUGAAAUGCGUAGAUAUCGGGAGGAACACCAGUGGCGAAGGCGACUUCCUGGACCGACACUGACGCUGAGGCGCGAAAGCUAGGGGAGCGAACAGG